GAACGAACGCUGGCGGCAGGCUUAACACAUGCAAGUCGAACGGUUGUAGCAAUACAGCAGUGGCAGACGGGUGAGUAACACGUGGGAACCUUCCUAGGGGUACGGAACAACUCAGGGAAACUUGAGCUAAUACCGUAUACGUCCGUGAGGAGAAAGAUUUAUCGCCCUUAGACGGGCCCGCGUAGGAUUAGGUAGUUGGUGGGGUAAUGGCCUACCAAGCCUACGAUCCUUAGCUGAUCUGAGAGGANGAUCAGCCACACUGGGACUGAGACACGGCCCAGACUCCUACGGGAGGCAGCAGU
rnacentral:rRNA from 1 species